AUUUUGGGUCAUUAAGUAGGUCACUAGGUCAUAGAAAAGCAUGGUGAACACUCUAGAGGAGCAACUGGAACAACUUCCGUCUUGAGAAUAUUUGACUGGAUGAUCUUUAGGUCAAGUUUGAAUAUGUAGUCAAAAACUUGGUCACUAAGCCAAAUAAAAGAUAAAUAUUGUGAACACUGUUGGGACCAUAGUUUCAGCUGGAACAAAUUCAAACUUAAUGAGAAUGUUUGUCUGGAUGAUCUCUAAGUCAAGUUUGAAUCUGUGUCAUCUGGGGUCAAAUAGAAGGUUGCUAGGUCAAAUAAAAAAAUAAUAUUGUGAAUACCCUAAAGACCAUAUGAGAAUGUUUGUCUGGUUGCUCUCUAGGCCAAGUUUGAGUCUUGAAUGUCUUCUUAGCUUGACUCUGACCUUUUGACCUUUUUUAUUGUCCUAGGGUGCCAUGUAUCCAGGUGAGUGAUAUAGGCCCACUUGUUAUGAACUUGCUUUUUCUUUUGCUCUUACUUAGCUAUUGAGAAAUGCAAAAUGCCAAAAUACAUAUUUUCAAAAUUUAAGGUUUUAUUGUUGAUUCACUAUAGUAUAUGGAAAGCUGUGUGUCAAAGGGCAUUUGAUUGCGGCAUCCCUUGAUCUUCCUGCAAGAGCAAUGUAGGCAAAUAAGAAACAGUUUAAUGGCAAGAAUGCCUGUACAGUAUGUUUAGAUCCAGGGGAGUAUCCAGAAGGGAUGCCAUUGAUGCAAUAUUAUCCUUACAAAGACAACUCUUAAUGUCAGAACUCAUCAGUCUAUGCUUAGGGAUGCAGAAGAAGCCUUAUGAACCAGAGCACCAGUGAAUGGAAUUAAAGGUGCAUCACCGUUGAUGGUUUUGAGCUAUGUGGAUCUACCUAACAAAUUUUGUGAUUGAUUGGAUGCAUAAUGUUCUGCUGGGCAUUACAAAGGGGUUGCUGAACUUCUGGUUAAACUAUAUACUCGUAUUAAGAACUCCGCUUUCUAUGUUGGAGACAAGAUCACUUUAUUGAAUCAGAGAUUGUUACGCCUACAAAUUCCAGACUUUGUAUCUAGAAGAUGAUCAUUCUCACCGAAAAGCAUCAGAAUGCGGAGAAUGGUUGAUCCAUUUCUGUGCCAGUUCUUUUCAGCAUUCUAAGCCCUAUUGUAUUUAUUCAUUACAUGUUGCUAACAACAGCAAUGAGCCUGCUUACCAAGGACGACAUGACCCAAGAUGACAUCAACCUUGCAGAAGACCUGUUGAAAGGGAAAACACAGACUAUGAAUGUCCAUCUGCUGCGCCACAUAGCACAGUUUACCGGUUUGUAUGGACCUCAUUUCAAUUUCUCCUGCUUUGGAUUUGAGUCCAUGAAUGCAUACCUGAAGAAAAUGGUACAUGGAACUAGUUAUGUAAACAGUCAGGUGUGCUUUGCUGUCACAUUAUCCAAACAAAUAGCAACCAUGGAGAGACAGCUUACAGACACUGCAGCUGACAGAUCAAUGAAAAAACUGGCCAAACAAUUGGGUUCUAAGAUUAUAGUUGAAGAGUAAAUGGCCAACAGGGAGUGUAUAUUGUGAAAAUUGAAACCUUUCAAAGUAACGGAUGAAAACUACAAUCUUCUGUCAGAGGACUUAAAGCAGGCAACCUCAAGUCCUUCACAAGAUUAUAAAAGGGCUAUGAAAUCUCUUUUGGCAAGCACAGUUCUGUUGCCAAAACCAAGAAUUCAUUCACUAUUAGCUUUGAAUAUAUAAUGAAGAACAGUUUGGACAAAUUAUGCCCUUUUUCUUAGUACAUGUUACAAAAUUUGCUAUAGUGAAAGUUUUUGAAACUGAGAGAAUCGGUCUUGGUGAGGAAGAAAAGAGAUCCAUAACAGACGAUACUUUAGAGCGCUAUCUAGAUAAACCUGUGUGUCCACAUAUUGUGCAAGUAAUAGACGAUACUUUAGAGGGCUAUCUAGAUAAACCUCUGUGUCCACAUAUUGUGCAAGUAACAGACAAUACUUGAGCGCUAUCUAGAUAAACCUCUGUGUCCACAUAUUGUGCAAGUAACAGACGAUACUUGAGCGCUAUCUAGAUAAACCUCUGUGGCCACAUAUUGUGCAAGUAACAGACGAUACUUGAGCACUAUCUAGAUAAACCUCUGUGUCCAGAUAUUGUGCAAGUAACAGACGAUACUUUAGAGUACUAUCUAGAUAAACCUCUGUGUCCACAUAUUGUGCAAGUAACAGACGAUACUUUAGAGCGCUAUCUAGAUAAACCUCUGUGUCCACAUAUUGUGCAAGUAAUCUCGCAUUAACAAAUGUGUAGUGUCAGUGAGAAAGCUUAUUUCCAAAUGUGUGUGUUUUUUUGGUUUGUUUUUAGCUCACAUGUCACAAAGUGACAAUGUCAGCUUUUGUGAUCACGCAGCGUCUGUCAUCCGUGCAUGAGUCCGUGCGUACAUGCAUGCGUAAACUUUUGCUUGUGACCACUCUAGAGGUCACAUUUUUCAUUGGAUCUUUAUGAAAGUUGGUCAGAAUGUUCAUCUUGAUGAUAUCUAGGUCAAGUUCGAAACUGGGUCAACUGCGAUCAAAAACUAGGUCAGUAGGUCUAAAAAUAGAAAAACCUUGUGACCUCUCUAGAGGCCAUACUUUUCAAUGGAUCUUCAUGAAAGUUAUUCAGAAUGUUCACCUUGAUAUCUAGGUCAAGUUCGAAACUGGGUCACGUGCCAUCAAAAACUAGGUCAGUAGGUCAAAUAAUAAAAAAACCUUGUGACCUCUCUAGAGGCCAUAUUUUUCAUGGGAUCUGUAUGAAAGUUGAUCAGAAUGUUCAUCUUGAUGAUAUCUAGGUCAGUUUCGAAACUGGGUCAACUGCGGUCAAAAACUAGGUCAGUAGGUCUAAAAAUAGAAAAACCUUGUGACCUCUCUAGAGGCCAUACUUGUGAAUGGAUCUUCAUGGAAAUUGGUCAGAAUGUUCACUUUGAUGAUAUCUAGGUCAAGUUUGAAACUGGGUCACAUGCCGUCAAUAACUAGGUCAGUAGGUCAAAUAACAAAAAAACCCUUGUGACCUCUCUAGAGGCCAUAUUUUUCAUGGGAUCUGUAUGAAAAUUGGUCAGAACUUUUAUCUUGAUGAUAUCUAGGUCAAGUUCGAAACUGGUUCAACUGCGAUCAAAAACUAGGUCAGUAGGUCUAAAAAUAGAAAAACCUUGUGACCUCUCUAGAGGCCAUACUUUUCAAUGGAUCUUCAUGAAAGUAAGUCAGAAUGUUCACCUUGAUGAUAUCUAGAUCUUGUUUGAAACUUGGUCACGUGUUUUUAAUAACUAGGUCAGUAGGUCAAAUAACAAGAAAGCCUUGUGACCUCUCUAGAGGCCAUAUUUUUCAUGGGAUCUAUAUGAAAAUUGGUCUGAAUGUUCAUCUUGAUGAUGUCUAGGUCAGGUUUGAAACUGGGUCAACUGCAAUCAAAAACUAGGUCAGUAGGUCUAAAAAUAGAAAAACCUUGUGACCUCUUUAGAGGCCAUACUUUUGAAUGGAUCUUCAUGAAAAUUGGUCAGAAUGUUCACCUUGAUGAUAUCUAGGUCAGUUUCAAAACUGGGUCACGUGCCAUCAAUAACUAGGUCAGUAGGUCAAAUAAUAAAAAAUCUUUUGACCUCUCUAGAGGCCAUAUUUUUCAGUGGAUCUUCAUGAAAAUUGGUUAGAAUUUUUAUCUUGAUGAUAUCUAGGUCAGAUUCAACACUGGGUCACAUGAGCUCAAAAACUAGGUCACAGUGUCAAAUAAUAGAAAAAAACGACAUCAUACUCGGUUUAAAACUGGGUCAUGUAGGGACAGGUGAGCGAUUCAGGACCAUCAUGGUCCUCUUGUUGUUUUUUUAUAUCAGCCAAACAAUGACAUUUAUAAGCAGUCCUCCAAAUUUGAUUGAACAUGGUUGAACACGGGACAUUAGUCAGAAAUAUUUAAUCAUAACUGCCGCAAACAAAGUUGAAGCGGUUUAUACUGGUUUGAAAUGUGACAUCUAAUCAUCUAGUAAAUUAGUAAUAUAGUAUUACCAUGUUAUAGCAUUGAAGGUUACCAUAUUGCGGGUUUUUAUUUCUGCUGAAUCUGCGGGUCGAGGCUGUCACACAGAAAUACUGCACAUUUAAACCAUUAGCAGAAUUUUUUGACGCAGAAAUAAACUUGAUAUUUUGCUUAAUAUAUGACCCGUUAUCUUUAUCUUCAUCUGUUGUCAAGUUAUUCACACCAUAUCGAUUAUGGUUGAUUGCUUUUGUUAUUGUAUCAAUCUAUUGUCCACGAAUGAAUGGUUACCGUGUAAUCAUUACAAGCACUCUAGGUUUAUGAAAAGUUAAACAAACUUAUUAAUGUGUGUUGUAAUUGAAUGGACUAUGAACUAUGUACUAGAUUUUGCAUUUGUAUAUAUUUGUAAAUAAAUUGUAAAUUUUUCUAACAGCAAUGUUACAUUUUCAAAAUGAAUUACAGGUACUAGACCUACAGUAUUUAUUUUUAACUCAGAUUUUUUAUCAUGCACGGUAAUAAAAAGAAAUCAGAUUUAAACAUAAAUCAGCUGCUCCAACUUCACUGUCCUAGAUUCCGAAAUAGAUAAUGCCACCAAGACGUAACUGAUGAGAACGAUAUGCAAGUCGUUAAUUAUGACGUAGUAAAUGCGAUAGCUAUUUCCCAUGCACAGAAUUUACUUCAUUUAGUUCAUGCUAACCGCAAAAAUUAAUUUCUGCUUUUCUCGAAGGUCGUAGAAAUACAAAACCCAGAAAUAAACUAGGCCCAUUUUAGGACAAAACCGCAGAAUUUUUUGCCCGCAGAAUUAACCUGCUGUAAGGUAUUAUUCAUUUGUUAGCUUAUCUGAGCCAAAGGCACAGGAUGAGCUGUUAGUAUGGGUUGGUUGUCCGUGUCACAUCCUCAAGAUUUCAUAUAAAUGGCUUUUUUUCUGAAACUUCAUUAUCGGAUGUUUGCCAGAUUUGGUCUGUACCAUCCCUGCAUUGACCCCUUUCAAAAUACAGGAGAUGAUUACUUUGUGACUUUGACCUAAAAAUAUAAAUAUUCAUACUUGGAAUGAAUUUGGUACAUUGUAAAAACUUCACACACUAAAUAUUCACUAUGAUAAACUGACUCACAUUGCACAGGUUCAAUAACUCUAUUUUGCUUAUUUACAAAAUUAUGCCCCCUUUUCUUAAUAAGGCUGUUGAAUAGUUGAGCGUUGCCGUCUUCCAACAGCUCAUGAUAUAUAUCAUAUAUAUUUGAAGUAUUAUUUACAUUUCACUUCAGAUUUCAUCAGUGAAUGCCCGCUCAUGAUUAAAUAAUGCACUGAGGGGCAUCUGGGGUCUAAUCCUCCACCAUCAAAGCUGGAAAGUCGCCAUAUGACCUAUAAUUGUACUGGCUAGCGACCACCAAACCGGACAGUCCUGUAAACGCUUUUUUUUUGUCUUUAACCUUGCUAAUCUGUUUACGAUCAAAUGGAAGCUUGAUUUUCAACAACAGGGCAAAGUUACAACAUUUAAAUUUAAGUAUUUUACAAGAAAUGCUACAUUUCAUUUAGUCUGCACUCGCGAAGCAUGUUUACAUGUCGGGAGAAAUCGGAAGUGGCACGAUGCGCAUGCGCAGUUUUUCCUUGUGAGGUCCUGCCAUUAAAUCUAAAGGUCCCAUGCAAAUUUGAGGUAGGCAGACGAGACAUUUAGUAAACACUUAUAUUGGGGCAAUACAGCUUUGAUAAUUCAGUGCAUUACUUUUACACACCCUAAAACUUCGAAAGUGAAAUUUUAAAAGAUUUGGUUGGGAGAGAUACGAUCAGAUUUAUAGAUUCAAGAGAGGUAAUUCGUACAAUUCUAGGACUCGGACACUGUACGACUACUUUCCAUUGGUUGAAAUAAAAGUUUAAUUCAAUGUUAAAUGUAAAUUGAAAAUCAAUAAAGUGACAACACGCUGUCCAGAAACAUAGUAUUGUUAGACCUUAAAACAACGUGAUUCGGUGGCCCUUUGUGCGGGCCUCGCGAAAGUACUUGACCUAAAUUUAGAAGUAAACAAAUUAGCUCUUUAGUUAAGAGGAGGACCUAGCUUUGUUCACAUGAAAUUUCAACCACUAGAUAUAUCUAUUUCCCCGAGUUGUCCUGAAAAAUAUUCCAAAUGUGUCUGGUUGUAGGACGCAAGCCAGUAUCGGUGCGGUAUUAAGCCCAACAAAUUAAAUAAUUUCAUCAGUGAAAUCUAGGCUAUAAUGUUGUAAAAGUCUUUAUUACUGAAAAAUGCAGUUCAAAUAUACUUCCCAUAUAUUUUUCACAAAUCUAUUUUGUAGUAUGUUUUGGAGACAUGCGGACAUAAAAAAAAUGUUAGAUCUUCUUACUUGACACGACAGCUAGGCUCACUUGAAAUAAACACAAUUUUUUAGUCCCGGCCUGUAUCCUGCAUUCAAUAUAAACAAGAGCCAUGUCAGACAUGGCUAAUCCCCCCACCGGGCAUAUCAUAAUUGAAGGAUGUGGUCCGCAUCAGGGGUUUUAAGAUGUGGAAGAAAGAAUAAGUCAGUAGUGAGGUGGUUUACUGCUAAAUUUUAUUAAUUUUCAUGAAGAGUAUAGCUAUGAUGUUUUUCUAUAUGGCUACUGUAAAAAGAAGGAAUGGAAAGCUAACAGGGAACAAGAGUGCCAGAAUGUCACAAUAUAUGCCCGUCAAAGCAAAUUUCUUUACUCUAGCAGCUGUAUUUGCAAAUGGAAUGUUAAUUUUGUGGUUGUUUAGUAAUCAUUGUAAGUCUUUUGUUUUUUAAAGUCCACAAAAAAACUCCUUACUAGGUAGAGAUACCUUAUAUAUAAUAAAAUUAAUAAAAUACACCUAAAACUGGAGAGUAACAUCUAUGCUGUACCACAGAAAAGUGGUCUUGUUUUUUCCCUAGGGUCAAUUAUAAAAAUGUUACAAUAUAAGUUAUUUAUAGUAACAACUAAGGGAAGUUAAUCUUUAAAAAAAAAAAAAAAAAAAAAAAAAAAAAAUUGCAAGUCCACACAAAAAUCUUUAUCAGGAAGAGACUGGUCAAAAUACACCUCAAAAUUGGAUUUAGCAUGUUUGUUGUACUACAGAAAAGUGGUCUCGAUUUUUCCCUACGACUAGUAAUGAAAAAGUUACAAUAAAAGCUAUUUAAAGUAACAACAAAGGGGAGUAAUUC